AACGCGAAGAACCUUACCCGGAUUGGAAAUGCAGAGGACAGUUACAGAGAUGUAAUCUCCCGCAAGGGUCUCUGCACAGGUGCUGCAUGGCUGUCGUCAGCUCGUGCCGUGAGGUGUUGGGUUAAGUCCCGCAACGAGCGCAACCCUUAUCAUUAGUUGCCAACACGCGAGGUGGGGACUCUAAUGAGACUGCCUAGGUUAACUAGGAGGAAGGUGAGGAUGACGUCAAGUCCGCAUGGCCUUUAUGUCCGGGGCUACACACGUGCUACAAUGGUCGGUACAGAAGGCAGCAAGACCGAAAGGUGGAGCAAAUCCGAUAAAGCCGAUCUCAGUUCAGAUUGUAGUCUGCAACUCGACUACAUGAAGGUGGAAUUGCUAGUAAUGACGUGUCAGCAACAACGUCGUGAAUACGUUCCCGGGCCUUGUACACACCGCACUACUA
rnacentral:rRNA from 1 species